UACCUGCAGUCGAGCGGAACGAGUUAUCUGAACCUUCGGGGAACGAUAACGGCGUCGAGCGGCGGACGGGUGAGUAAUGCCUAGGAAAUUGCCCUGAUGUGGGGGAUAACCAUUGGAAACGAUGGCUAAUACCGCAUGAUGCCUACGGGCCAAAGAGGGGGACCUUCGGGCCUCUCGCGUCAGGAUAUGCCUAGGUGGGAUUAGCUAGUUGGUGAGGUAAGGGCUCACCAAGGCGACGAUCCCUAGCUGGUCUGAGAGGAUGAUCAGCCACACUGGAACUGAGACACGGUCCAGACUCCUACGGGAGGCAGCAGUGGGGAAUAUUGCACAAUGGGCGCAAGCCUGAUGCAGCCAUGCCGCGUGUAUGAAGAAGGCCUUCGGGUUGUAAAGUACUUUCAGUCGUGAGGAAGGCGGCGUCGUUAAUAGCGGCAUUGUUUGACGUUAGCGACAGAAGAAGCACCGGCUAACUCCGUGCCAGCAGCCGCGGUAAUACGGAGGGUGCGAGCGUUAAUCGGAAUUACUGGGCGUAAAGCGCAUGCAGGUGGUUUGUUAAGUCAGAUGUGAAAGCCCGGGGCUCAACCUCGGAAUAGCAUUUGAAACUGGCAGACUAGAGUACUGUAGAGGGGGGUAGAAUUUCAGGUGUAGCGGUGAAAUGCGUAGAGAUCUGAAGGAAUACCGGUGGCGAAGGCGGCCCCCUGGACAGAUACUGACACUCAGAUGCGAAAGCGUGGGGAGCAAACAGGAUUAGAUACCCUGGUAGUCCACGCCGUAAACGAUGUCUACUUGGAGGUUGUGGCCUUGAGCCGUGGCUUUCGGAGCUAACGCGUUAAGUAGACCGCCUGGGGAGUACGGUCGCAAGAUUAAAACUCAAAUGAAUUGACGGGGGCCCGCACAAGCGGUGGAGCAUGUGGUUUAAUUCGAUGCAACGCGAAGAACCUUACCUACUCUUGACAUCCAGAGAACUUUCCAGAGAUGGAUUGGUGCCUUCGGGAACUCUGAGACAGGUGCUGCAUGGCUGUCGUCAGCUCGUGUUGUGAAAUGUUGGGUUAAGUCCCGCAACGAGCGCAACCCUUAUCCUUGUUUGCCAGCGAGUAAUGUCGGGAACUCCAGGGAAACUGCCGGUGAUAAA
rnacentral:rRNA from 1 species